GACCAAGGAGAGUAACAUGUACGCGAGUCAUUGGGCGUUACGAAACCCAAAGGCGCAGUGAAAGUGAAGGUCUGACUCGAUUCAGACUGAGGUGAGAUCCUGCUACCAAGCAUCGAGCGAGGCGCAUCACCGGCCCGUUUCGGACAGUUUUCAGUCGGGGCGGAGCAUGAGCGUACAUGUUGAGACCCGAAAGAUGGUGAACUAUGCUUGCGCAGGUUGAAGCCAGAGGAAACUCUGGUGGAGGACCGCAGCGAUUCUGACGUGCAAAUCGAUCGUCAAACGUGAGUAUAGGGGCGAAAGACUAAUCGAACCAUCUAGUAGCUGGUUCCCUCCGAAGUUUCCCUCAGGAUAGCUGGCGUUCAGAACAGUUUUAUCCGGUAAAG
rnacentral:rRNA from 1 species